UCCCGCCUGAUUUCUCCAGGAUUUUUAGGGUCUUUGUUUGAAAUGUCUUCCGGCACCUCCGCCUCUAGUGGUUCCAGGAGUUCGUCCGCCUCAGCCCCCCAGAACCCCCACACUGUAGGCGAACCCACAUCUAGGGCUGGGCCUCGCCCGAUUUUUACGUCGGGUGCCAUUCCCUGUUCUCUGACUCCGGAUGAACUUCUACUGAUAAGGGUUCAGUAUGGAGUUCCUCCGGAGUAUGAUCUGGAGCUUCCUGGUCCCGCCGACCGGGCUAGCACCCCCC
rnacentral:lncRNA from 1 species